GGUUAAGCGACUAAGCGUACACGGUGGAUGCCCUGGCAGUCAGAGGCGAUGAAGGACGUGCUAAUCUGCGAAAAGCGUCGGUAAGGUGAUAUGAACCGUUAUAACCGGCGAUGUCCGAAUGGGGAAACCCAGUGCAAUUCGUUGCACUAUCGUUAACUGAAUACAUAGGUUAACGAGGCGAACCGGGGGAACUGAAACAUCUAAGUACCCCGAGGAAAAGAAAUCAACCGAGAUUCCCCCAGUAGCGGCGAGCGAACGGGGAGCAGCCCAGAGUCUGAAUCAGCUUGUGUGUUAGUGGAACGGUCUGGAAAGUCCGACGGUACAGGGUGAUAGUCCCGUACACCAAAAUGCACAGGCUGUGAACUCGAAGAGUAGGGCGGGACACGUGGUAUCCUGUCUGAAUAUGGGGGGACCAUCCUCCAAGGCUAAAUACUCCUGACUGACCGAUAGUGAACCAGUACCGUGAGGGAAAGGCGAAAAGAACCCCGGCGAGGGGAGUGAAAAAGAACCUGAAACCGUGUACGUACAAGCAGUGGGAGCACCUUCGGGUGUGACUGCGUACCUUUUGUAUAAUGGGUCAGCGACUUAUAUUCUGUAGCAAGGUUAACCGUAUAGGGGAGCCGCAGGGAAACCGAGUCUUAACUGGGCGUUAAGUUGCAGGGUAUAGACCCGAAACCCGGUGAUCUAGCCAUGGGCAGGUUGAAGGUUGGGUAACACUAACUGGAGGACCGAACCGACUAAUGUUGAAAAAUUAGCGGAUGACUUGUGGCUGGGGGUGAAAGGCCAAUCAAACCGGGAGAUAGCUGGUUCUCCCCGAAAGCUAUUUAGGUAGCGCCUCGUGAACUCAUCUUCGGGGGUAGAGCACUGUUUCGGCUAGGGGGUCAUCCCGACUUACCAACCCGAUGCAAACUACGAAUACCGAAGAAUGUUAUCACGGGAGACACACGGCGGGUGCUAACGUCCGUCGUGAAGAGGGAAACAACCCAGACCGCCAGCUAAGGUCCCAAAGUCAUGGUUAAGUGGGAAACGAUGUGGGAAGGCACAGACAGCCAGGAUGUUGGCUUAGAAGCAGCCAUCAUUUAAAGAAAGCGUAAUAGCUCACUGGUCGAGUCGGCCUGCGCGGAAGAUGUAACGGGGCUAAACCAUGCACCGAAGCUGCGGCAGCGACACUAUGUGUUGUUGGGUAGGGGAGCGUUCUGUAAGCCUGCGAAGGUGUGCUGUGAGGCAUGCUGGAGGUAUCAGAAGUGCGAAUGCUGACAUAAGUAACGAUAAAGCGGGUGAAAAGCCCGCUCGCCGGAAGACCAAGGGUUCCUGUCCAACGUUAAUCGGGGCAGGGUGAGUCGACCCCUAAGGCGAGGCCGAAAGGCGUAGUCGAUGGGAAACAGGUUAAUAUUCCUGUACUUGGUGUUACUGCGAAGGGGGGACGGAGAAGGCUAUGUUAGCCGGGCGACGGUUGUCCCGGUUUAAGCAUGUAGGCUGGUUAUCCAGGCNNNNNNNNNNAACCAAGGCUGAGGUGUGAUGACGAGGCACUACGGUGCUGAAGUAACAAAUGCCCUGCUUCCAGGAAAAGCCUCUAAGCAUCAGGUAACAUCAAAUCGUACCCCAAACCGACACAGGUGGUCAGGUAGAGAAUACCAAGGCGCUUGAGAGAACUCGGGUGAAGGAACUAGGCAAAAUGGUGCCGUAACUUCGGGAGAAGGCACGCUGGUGUGUAGGUGAAGCCCCUGCGGGUGGAGCUGAGACCAGUCGAAGAUACCAGCUGGCUGCAACUGUUUAUUAAAAACACAGCACUGUGCAAACACGAAAGUGGACGUAUACGGUGUGACGCCUGCCCGGUGCCGGAAGGUUAAUUGAUGGGGUUAUCCGUAAGGAGAAGCUCUUGAUCGAAGCCCCGGUAAACGGCGGCCGUAACUAUAACGGUCCUAAGGUAGCGAAAUUCCUUGUCGGGUAAGUUCCGACCUGCACGAAUGGCGUAAUGAUGGCCAGGCUGUCUCCACCCGAGACUCAGUGAAAUUGAACUCGCUGUGAAGAUGCAGUGUACCCGCGGCAAGACGGAAAGACCCCGUGAACCUUUACUAUAGCUUGACACUGAACAUUGAGCCUUGAUGUGUAGGAUAGGUGGGAGGCUUUGAAGCGUGGACGCCAGUCUGCGUGGAGCCAACCUUGAAAUACCACCCUUUAAUGUUUGAUGUUCUAACGUUGGCCCCUUACCGGGGUUGCGGACAGUGUCUGGUGGGUAGUUUGACUGGGGCGGUCUCCUCCCAAAGCGUAACGGAGGAGCACGAAGGUUAGCUAAUCCUGGUCGGACAUCAGGAGGUUAGUGCAAUGGCAUAAGCUAGCUUGACUGCGAGCGUGACGGCGCGAGCAGGUGCGAAAGCAGGUCAUAGUGAUCCGGUGGUUCUGAAUGGAAGGGCCAUCGCUCAACGGAUAAAAGGUACUCCGGGGAUAACAGGCUGAUACCGCCCAAGAGUUCAUAUCGACGGCGGUGUUUGGCACCUCGAUGUCGGCUCAUCACAUCCUGGGGCUGAAGUAGGUCCCAAGGGUAUGGCUGUUCGCCAUUUAAAGUGGUACGCGAGCUGGGUUUAGAACGUCGUGAGACAGUUCGGUCCCUAUCUGCCGUGGGCGCUGGAGAAUUGAGGGGGGCUGCUCCUAGUACGAGAGGACCGGAGUGGACGCAUCACUGGUGUUCGGGUUGUCAUGCCAAUGGCACUGCCCGGUAGCUAAAUGCGGAAGAGAUAAGUGCUGAAAGCAUCUAAGCACGAAACUUGCCCCGAGAUGAGUUCUCCCUGAGACUUUAAGUCUCCUGAAGGAACGUUGAAGACGACGACGUUGAUAGGCCGGGUGUGUAAGCGCAGCGAUGCGUUGAGCUAACCGGUACUAAUGAACCGUGAGGCUUAACCUU
rnacentral:rRNA from 1 species